AGAGUUUGAUCCUGGCUCAGAUUGAACGCUGGCGGUAGGCUUAACACAUGCAAGUCGAGCGGUAACAGACAUUUUGAUUUUGCUUGCAAAAUCUCGCGCUGACGAGCGGCGAACGGGUGAGUAACGCGUAGGAAUCUACCUAGUAGAAGGGGAUAGCCCGAGGAAACUCGGAUUAAUACCGUAUACGUCCUUAGGGAGAAAGAGGGCUUAGCUUUGAUGCUCUCGCUAUUAGAUGAGCCUGCGUAAGAUUAGCUUGUUGGUGAGGUAAAGGCUCACCAAGGCGACGAUCUUUAGCUGGUCUGAGAGGACGAUCAGCCACAUUGGGACUGAGACACGGCCCAGACUCCUACGGGAGGCAGCAGUGGGGAAUAUUGGACAAUGGGCGCAAGCCUGAUCCAGCCAUACCGCGUGUGUGAAGAAGGCCUUCGGGUUGUAAAGCACUUUAAGUAAGGAAGAAAAGAGUAUUGUUAAUACCAUUACUCCGUGACAUUACUUACAGAAUAAGGACCGGCUAAUUCCGUGCCAGCAGCCGCGGUAAUACGGAAGGUCCAAGCGUUAAUCGGAAUUACUGGGCGUAAAGCGCGCGUAGGUGGUUUAUUAAGUUGGGUGUGAAAGCCCCGGGCUCAACCUGGGAACUGCAUCCAAAACUGAUUCACUAGAGUACGAAAGAGGAAAGUAGAAUUCACAGUGUAGCGGUGGAAUGCGUAGAUAUUGUGAAGAAUACCGAUGGC
rnacentral:rRNA from 1 species